rnacentral:lncRNA from 1 species
UGGAAGGGUAAGACCCGAUGCAAGGCAAGGAGAGAGCUCGAGGUGGUGGCUGCUGGUUAGCUCCCUCUGGGCGCGGAUCUGGCCAGAAGUGAAUGCACCAACAUCCAUAACUCCUCGGAAAAGCCGGCUGACUCCCCUCGCUCCUUUCUCGGAUCCGCUGCCUACGCCUCUGGAGCCUCCCGUGCCUGCACCUUUGUAACUGGUUACUUUAUUAAAGUCUCUUCACUUAAAUCAACUGGGAAGAAUUCUGUCCUACUCAGGACACUAACUUCAAACUGCAGUAUAUACCAUCACAGCUUCUUUGGUUUGACAGAACAUUUGGACACAUUUCUGCAAACGGACCCUUGGCAUCUCUUCUUGGAACAAAAUUUUGUAUUUGGACUCUGGCACCAUGCACCACAGAUGCAAGCAAGAAGCACUUCUACCUUCUGAGGCGGCCCCUCAAACUCAAGCCAGCUAGGCUAGGCCUGUCCAGCUUUCCUUCACAAAGAAGGAUUGGAGAGUUGCCGCUUACUGGCUUUCUCAAAUGUCAUUACUUAGCCAGUCUUCUGAAGAUUGAGAUUCAUGAACAUUGGACUCUUGCCUGUAAUUACAAUUCUUAAGUAUAUUAACCUUAUUUUCAGCUGUAUUUUUAGUUGCUUUCUGACUUCAUCUUGAAAAUACCUAUACUCUUUCUGCAUUUAUUCUAAUCUUACUUCUGAUCUUGAUUUUAAAAAGAUCUUUAUCAAUGAAAUCACCUCCAAGAACUAUUUUUGAACUUUAAGAUGUAUUCUUAAAUUUUUAGUAAAAUAGGAUUUAGAAUCAACUUUGUGAAGAUUACUAACAGAAAAAUGAAUAGCUCCUACCAUGAGGCAGUUUAUAGUUAAUGUAAAGAAUAUUAUACUUGUUUAUACAUGAAAAAGCCAUUUUCUUUCUCUAAACCUCAGAGAGCUAUAUAUAUUUAAUGAAUAAAUGAAUGUAUGAUGAAUGAAUUCCUGUCAGUCUUUAGCGAAGUCUUAUCUCUUAUUUGGAAUUCUUUCUUUAUCCCCUAUGUCUUCAUAAAUUCCAACCAAUAUCCAGGAUUAAUUCAAAUUCCUUACAAGGAUCUGAGAAGGGUUGGAGCUGUGGUAUGGGUAUGAUUGGUAGAUAGUUUUGAGCAACACUAUCACCAGAAAAUCUCUAUUUUUCUCCCAGUGACUUUUUGUUGAGGGUUGAAGAGUUUCCUUGAAGGCAAAAAAAAAAAAACUGUACUCAUCCAAAAUGUUACAGAUGUAACUUAUGGUUCAAUAGAAGCCUCUGCAAGCCAGGAUACAGAAAGAAACUUGAACCUUUGCAGAAGCUUGCAGAUUCAGCAACAGAGACUGAGAUAAGAAUGAAAUGGUAAUUCUGGGUAUGGUGUGGUGCCAAGUCCUGAAACCAGUCCCAAUAUACCUACCCUAGAAGCAUGUGGACAUCCUGAGGACAUGAAGGGCUCUAUGUGUGAUCCGGAAAAGGUGUUCCACUAUAUUCUAAAGUAUUUAUGGGCUGUGGUAGGCAGAGAAAAUUAUCCAGCAAAAAUUCAUGAAUUGUUACUGAAAAGUGACUUCUCAGAUAAGUAUUACAUUUCUCAGCUCUCGUCGUCAUUAAGCAUUACCAUGGUGACUCAGAUCUAUCCAGUGGAAUAUUGUAAGAAGUGAUGUUGCUAUUCAAGAUCUGGCUCAUGGAAGUGCUCCUCUGUGAUCUUCUCUCUUUUUUUUCUGCUGCCUAUAAUAAAAACUUCUCCCAGGGAACUUUGGAAGUCUCAUGCAGAAGACAGCAGAAACUUCACCAAUCUGGGUCUCUGUGUGACUGAAAGUAUAAGAGAUGGCAGACCCAUCUACCUGUUCUCUCACCUUUUAGUGUCACAUGAUCAAGAAAUACACUUCUAUUGUCGAGAAAAAAAAAAAAAAAAAAAAAAAAAA